CGUUUUACAGAGUGGAAUGCUGAAGCUCAAAGGUUGAAACCGCUGUCCGAAAUCUCAACAGUGGAGUGGGGUACUCACUUCUGACUCAUUCCAAGGGAUCCCUUUCCACGUGGGUCCAAGGAACUGCUGGGAAGAAACAAACAAAGCCUGGCUAACUGGUUCAUGGAGAACAUUAAUUUCAGGAAGUCCAGUCUCAUGGAUUCCUAGGAGGAAGGCUGUCUUAGGGAAGAGGUGGGGGGCGGGGGGCUGGACUGGAUCACCCUCUGCACUGAGGAAUUUGAUUCUCUGGAGAGCGUCAGAUGAAAACAUCUGGGCCAACCUGGGGCAGACCUGCUAGGUUUGGAGAGCUGGUGGGGGCAGCGUCAGGGGGUCAUUUGUCUUUUGUCUCAGGGGCAAUGAACUCGGGGCCUCCUGAGCCAUGGGACUGGGGACAGGGAGGGAUGUCCCAUACUUCUGUUUUCUCUCACGUAGCUUCUAAGGAAAUUCCAUUGCAUUGUAUUUACAAGGCAUCCCCAACUGUCAGCUUCCUUGAACACAAUGUAUUUAAUAAAAAGCCAUUAAGCCUUGUAAA